UACGAAGGGGGCUAGCGUUGCUCGGAAUCACUGGGCGUAAAGCGCACGUAGGCGGCUUCUUAAGUCAGGGGUGAAAUCCUGGAGCUCAACUCCAGAACUGCCUUUGAUACUGAGGAGCUUGAGUCCGGGAGAGGUGAGUGGAACUGCGAGUGUAGAGGUGAAAUUCGUAGAUAUUAGGAAGAACACCGGUGGCGAAGGCGGCCCACUGGUCCGGUACUGACGCUGAGGUGCGAAAGCGUGGGGAGCAAACAGG
rnacentral:rRNA from 1 species